CUUCAGGGAGCCCAGCCACAGCGGUCGGCCGUCGGGCCGGUCCUGGCCGUAGGUGGCCAGCAGCGCCUGGGCCUC
rnacentral:antisense_RNA from 1 species